rnacentral:piRNA from 1 species
UACUUCGUGAAUCAUCAGUCAGUACCCUAA